rfam:Rattus norvegicus chromosome 8, whole genome shotgun sequence.
UGGUGCCCAAAGUGUGGGGCCUGGAUACAGGGGUCUCCGUGAGGAAGAAGACUCAUGUGGCCGGCAUUAUAUAUAGAAAUUUCUUCGAACGCCGUGGGAGCCUGCUGUGGCCAAAACGAAGGUGAGUGAUAGAGUCUGAUUAUGGGACAAGCAUUAAACCAACAUGAGGUCUAUGUGAGACAGUUAAAGGCAUUAAAGAUGCAGGGAGUAAAGGUAAAACCCAAUGAUUUAUUUAAUGUUUUGAUUUUGUUAAGGAUCUUUGCCCUU